rnacentral:tRNA from 1 species
GAGCGCGUAGCUCAAUUGGUAGAGCAUCGCCCUUUUAAGGCGGGGGUUGUGGGUUCGAUCCCCACCGCGCUCACCA